AAUGUGUCAACUGUUGGACACCUUAAAUUUACACAGUGUUAUAUGGCAAAUAUAUUUCAAUUAAAGUCAGAGUUCAUAAAUAAAGUUUUAUUGACACACAGCUGUGCUCAUUCAUUUACCUAUUAUCUAGGGCUGCUUUUACACUACGAGGCAGAGUUGAGUCAUCGCAACAGAGACUGCCUGGCCCUCAGAGCAGAAAAUAUUUCCUGUCUGGCCCUUUCCAGAUGUUUGCAGACCCCUGCUCUAAGGAGCCUAAGACCUGAAUGUUACCUGAUGCUGACUCGGGGCUUCCUGGGAUGUUUCCUGGUUGGCACAGCAAAGAGUUCUGGAGGCUGGAACAUCCAAGACCAAGGUGCCAUCAGGUCUGGUGUCCAGUGAGGGCUUCGUGGUUCACAGAUGGUGUCAUUUUGCUGUGUCCUCACAUGGCAGAAAGGGCAAGACUUCCCUGGUGGCACAGUGGUUAAGUAUCGCCUGCCAAUGAAGGGGGC